CCGACCUUUGUUCUUAUAGACUCCAUCAACAAAUCAUGAAUGUAAUAAUUUAUUACAAAUUGGGUUGCGAUGCAUUAUUACAUUUCGGGUCGACAGUAACAACCCGUUUUGUAAUAAAAACCCGAAAUGUAAUAAAUGUUAUCAUGUUCAUUAAAUCAGAGAUAUAGACUUUUUUAGACGUUAUUUUCAUGUUUAAAUUAGUUUUAUAGUAGGUAUUGAAUGUUCCCCCGACCUUUGUUCUUAUAGACUCCAUCAACAAAUCAUGAAUGUAAUAAUUUAUUACAAAGUGGGUUGCGAUGCAUUAUUACAUUUCGGGUUGACAGUAACAACCCGUUUUGUAAUAAAAACCCGAAAUGUAAUACAU